CCUGCAAUGUAAUUAUGUAUAUUAACAUGUACAAUAGAUGGAUUCCGUUAUACUAAAUACUCGCACUGUUUUAUCGACUUGACUUACACUAUCAUAAAAAUUACUCAGAAUUUCUAAGCAAAAUAUUCUAUUGUUAUAAACAUUAAUGACGUCAUGUUGCUAAAUACUCUAUGUGUUUUAUAAAUCGAUAGAAUCAUAAUGAAUGGAAUAACAGAACGUAUAAAAUGGAGACUAAAAUAAAUUGUACAGCUGUUAAUUCAAAGUCCUCAUCAUGAUUAAGAUCACAUCAAAGUGCAAUCCCGCACUUGGAUCAGAUUUAGCAAUUACAUUCAUGAAAGUGUAAUCAACUGUAUACAUAAUUGAUACGCGUGAUUGGUGCCGGAUGAAGGAAAAAUACAUACCGUAUAAAAAUGCUAAUGUCCUAAGAUGUUUCUUUUUUAAUGCAACAGUAUAUUCUAAAGUAACUGACACUAGUUGGAGAGAAAAAGUUCAAAGAUUCGCAAAUAAUUCAACGCAUUCCAAACACUUGAAGGCGGGAAUUCAGGUUCAUGAACGUGCGACUCUUAUCGAGGCCUGAAAGUGCGAUGUCGCCCUAUUUUACACGCCAUUGUUCAACGUCUUUCAUACAAAAUGAACUUUAAAAGAGGCAAAAUCACCGGAAGGAUCCUGUCUUCGAGCCUUUGUACGCAUACAAUAUACGGUAGAAUUAAAAGCAUAUUUCAUAUCUUCGCCACAAGUCAUCUAUUCGUGCGACUCUAUAUGGACUUUAAAAUCUUAGACAGUAUCUAUAUAUCUUCUUUU